GUAUCAACAUAUCAACUAUGCCCUUAUCAACUUUCUUUAGUCUUUUUAAGCAUUUGCUAGUAAAUAAUUUGUUGGUACGUGUAUAGGAAUAAGGACUGAAUAGGAAAGUUGAGCAAUGAAUAUACAGAUAUAAGUCAUAUCUGUUUUUCCAUCAUGCCUAAUUUUCUGUUGUGCUUGUUACCAUUAGCUUUAUUUUUCAAUCAAACCAUUUUAUUAACUUUUUACAAUUUCAUUUAAGCAGAUAUCUAGUGUUAAAGGUGAAAGUGAACCCACAGAGGUGGAGGAUGAAUAUGUAAGAAACACUGUUGGUGAUGCCUCUGAUAAAGGAAAGCCAACUGGGAAGCCUGCAGACGUAGAUGAUGUGGUAGAUGAUGUGCACGAAGAAACCAUAGGACAUACAUGUGACGAACAACAUCAAGAAAAUGUUGAGAGCAACGAAAAAAACGAGGAUGGUGAACAGAGAGAAGAGGAACAUCAAACUCUUCAACAAGAGGAAUUGGUUUCUGAAGUUGAAAAUCAAGAGACAACUUCCACAACAGGAGCAAACAAGAUGGAGAUCUCGAAAGAAGGCGAAAACCUCAUUAAUACGGUAACCUGCUUUAUUCAAUUACAUAGUAUGUUAAAUUCCUUGGGACCUAUCUGGAAGCUAAAAUAACUUACCUAGCAUAUCUCCUCUUACUGACUCGAGAACCCUUUAUUUCUUGAUUGUUAAGCAGCACAAAAUUAUGUCUAAACAAAGAGCAAAAAAGUAAGCAAACUUAUUUAAGGAUAUGAUAACUCACCUUGUAGGUGAAGCAUACUAGUUUAUAUCAUCAUGGCUUUUAAAGGGAAUUGUCUAAAGUGAAACUCUUUUCUCAUAAUCACUAAUUGUUACCUCCAUCCAAAACUAGUUAUCUACACAAACAUUAAGGGUUUGUAUGUUGUGCAGUUGUACAGAUUUUUCACACUCCCUAUCAACCAUUACCACAUGCACCUUGAGCAAACAGUAAGUCAUCUGCUGAACAAGAUACUCGUGCAUCUAAAUAGGCCAUAUAGAUUUUGCAUUGAAAGACAAUACAAUAAUUCUAGCCUGUAAACUCUUUUCUGAAACUUGUCUUUUAUUAAACUUCUGAUUUACCAACUAUGGGCAGAUUUCUGAGUCAGUAAAUCUGGAGGAAACUAAAAUUGAACAUGGGAAGGAUGACAAGAAGAUCAAGGAGAGUGUUGAAGAUAAUCCCCGAGAUCAUGCCUUGCCUUCACAAACAAUACAUGAUGUAGCAGACGCAGACCACGCAGAAGCAAAUCAAAGUUUGGAGGGGAAGGACGACAAUAUUGCGAGUCUUGAGAAAGAAAGUAUCAAAAGCAAGGGACCUGAUGAGGUUCACCCCAGUGAAUCAGAAACACAUCAGAGUUUGGUGGACAAAGACAACAAUAUUGUAAGUCUUGAAAAAGAAAGCAUUGAAAGCAAAGGGCCUGAUGAGGUUCAACUCGGUGAAUCAGAAGCCACCAAGGUAGACUUUCUUUUGAAUUCUUCAAAACUUUAUGUAUUUAAUUUAACUAUUCAAUUUGCUUUCCUUGAACUCACUGUUUUUCCAACAUGCCUCCUCAUCUCAAGUUUGACUUGUGAAAAAUUUGAUCAACCAGGUUGCUGAAAUUGUUAGCACAACUGAUGAGGCUGAAACUACGUCUGUAGACGGAGGGGAAAGUGUUGAUGUCGACAAAGAUAAGGCAGAGUAUCAAGAGCACAAAAAUGUUAGAGGGUCAGUGAUGGAGGAAUAUAAUCAAGGGGAAGCAAAUGAAACACAAAUGGCCAAGAGCCAUGAGGUAAUAAUUGAUUCAAUGCCACGUAUGGUUUCUUACUAAGUCCAAAAUUCGUAUAUUUUACUGCAUGGCCAGAAGUAUAGAAACGAUUGAACUAAUAAUUCUUAACUUCUCCUCUAAAACCCUCAUUUCAAUAUAACAUUAAUUGUUGUCCUAUCUUGAUCAGAUCCCUGAAAUGGAUGAUCUAAGCCCUGAAAAGGCUUCGGAGACAAAUAAAUCGGUGAUGAAAGAUAUACAUGACAAAACUAAAACAAAGCAUGAAGAGCCAGAUUUUGCAAGUAACAAGCCAAUUAAUCAGACUAACAUGCCUGAACAAAGUCGAAUUCCUGAAGAAGAAAAUACUAUCAUGGAAAGCAAAACGGAGUCAAGCUUCCCAAAGGAUGCAAUUGAAAAUGCCCUGAAAUCAGACCCUGAUGAGAAAGAUGAGGAAAUGCUAAAGAAUGAGGAAUCCUCACAUAUUUUCCCAGAGUCCUCUCCCAACGUUGAUCAUAAAAUUGCUAGGGGAUUAUCUCAUCAAGAUGAAGGGAACAAGAUAUGUGAGGAUGCAGCACUAGAAACCCCAUCUGGCAAUCAAAGCCGUGAAGCAGAUGAGGAGCAAAUAGAAAUUGGGAAACCUAAAAAGCUGAACGAACUUAAACAAGAUAUUCCUAUGAAGUACUUUGAUGCUGUAAACAGUCAAGAAGAGACGAUACAUAAAGAAAAUCCUGAUAAUGUGGAAGAGAGCGAGAAGUGUGAAGUAAAGGAUGAAACUGCUUUAACACUCGAGCGAGCAUCUGCAGCGGACUCUGAAGAGCCCAGUCAUUGGCUGUUUAGCAGUUGUGAGAAGGUAUCCAAGUCUUAACCCAUACAAAAAUUUCAACAUUCUUUAUCCUUAUUUAUGAAUUGUUAAUGAAUAAACUAUUGACAAAGAAUUUUAAGUUUCUAUCCGCACAAGUUGUGCCCACCAUGCCAUACCAUGCAGACAAUAUAUCAGCAUGAUACCACCCGCAUGCCGAUGGCACAACUCAAAAUCAUUUUUUUUUCAAAAAUUAACAAGUAGCUACAUUAAUCAAAUACCAAAGAAUAUAGUUGUGCCAAAAGAAAAUAUAUGUUUUCAUAGUUGGAUAAAUUGAGUAGAAAAAGUAUAUGAAGCAGAAAGAUGAAAAAGUCUUUGAGUGUAGCAAUGCCACUCUCCUUAAAGCUAAAUCGUCCCCACCAUUCUCGUAAUUUGGUGUGCACUGGGUUAACAAAUAGCUUCUCAGGAUACAAUGAAAUAUAAACCUCAACUUCGUUUGCACACGUGAAGUCGAGCCUUUGAGCACUCACUCGAUUAAAUUGUCAAAAAGAAAAUAGAAUAAGAAACAAGAAAUUAUUAUAGAUAGAGACUUAAACUUUCCAACUGUCCUUCAGCAGUCAACGUUAUGGACUUAUAUGGACCACGAACAGGUGCUUUAUGAAGUGACAAUUCAUGAACGGGUGCUUCAUGAAGUGACUUUUCCUUUGAUCAUAACUAUCAAUUAGUUAUAUGAGUCAAGUUCAAUGAAUGUAAGAAUUAAUUUCAACGGACAUCCAUGAAAGGACACACUAAAAAGUUGUCUUUCUAUGUCUUAUCCUUUCAAUAAAAAUCACAUCCUUUCAUAUUCAUUCACCAAGAGUUACGACCUUUGAUUAGAGUCACAUCUACUCACUAAGAGUCGCAUUUGUACUAAGGGUUGCAUCCAUUCACUAAAACUCAAAGGACAAAAUAAAUAUAUAUUUUAAAAAUUUCCUUACAUUCAUGCCACAAUGUAUUGGCACAUAGAUAUCGUGCCAACAGCAUAGAUUGACACGGCAUAGCACGAUGGUGUGCCAUGCCACACCGUUGCUUAGCAUGAACCUGCAACUGACUAAGUGCAAAAUGUAGAUCAGAAGAUGAAAGAUGGGCAACCAAAAAAAAAAAGAGAAAGUAAGAUUUGUAGUUUCUGCAAGGGGCAUUUUAGCCAACUAAUCUCAUCCAAACUUUAUAUUCUAAAAAUAGGCCUACGAAAAUCGUAUUUACGGAAAUAGGCACGAAACUGCCACGUAAGCAGUGAGAUAGCGGAGGAAGAUAGAAGCCGUGAACCAAGUACCACUUUCAAGUGAAGACGGUAAAUGAUUCACCGCUUUCAUAAAAUUUUAAAAAUCCUAUGAAGGCGGUGAAUGGUUCACCGCCUUCAUGCAAUUCCCCGCGCAGAAUAUAAUAGUUAUGAACGCGGUGAAUGGUUCACUGCAUAUUAAGGCGGUGAAUCAUUUACCGCUUUUAUAUGCAGUGAUCCAUUCACCGCAUUUAUGAUAACCCCCACCCAGCCAAUUAGUUUGCAGAUUCCCACAUUAUACAAAAUAGCAAUAUUUUCAAGCAUUUCAAUUACAAGAAUAAAUACACAAAAUCAUCUAUAUCAACUUCAACCACACUUUAAGCAUAUAAAAUGAGCCAUACCAAUAUCAAGAUACUUCAAUAUGAAUAAAUUUAGAUAAUACCAUAAAAAAUCAAUGUAGAAAAAAUCAGAAAUAUCAAAUAUACAUGAGAAUCCCAAAAAUGAUAAACAAAAUCAAGUCCCCUCCAUCCCCCUCACAUGCUCUCGCCCUCGUCCCCUGCCACGUCCACGUCUGCGUCCACAACCGCGUCCUCGACUUCGUCCUCGAAUAUGCAUAUCAUGCUCCAUCCCAGGCUGCACGGGCUCAAUGACAUGCAUCUGAUCAAUAUGCUCAAUGGCGAUGCCCUCGACAAUCGGCUCCACCCCUUGCUCAUCAGCCGAUGGUACUGCGUCUCAAUAUGACCCUAUCAUCGUCGCCUACAUCAAUAUACAACAUCAUCGCAAUGAACCUAUGACGUGGAUGAAACGUCAGGAGGGAUAGGCAUGAAUGGAAUAUCAAAAUAGGAUACCUCUGACGUAGAUGGAAUAUCAAAUGGAGGGAUGGAUGCCGACGAAAUAUCAAACUCCACUUCUGAUGUCGAAGGGAUAUCAGAUGUCGAAGGGACAUCAGAUGGAUGAAUCGGGACAGAUGUCGAUAGAAAAUCAUAUGUAGGCAUGGAGGUGGAGGGAAUAUCACCAAAAUCAUAUACAGGCAUGGAGGUGGAGGGAAAAUCACUGUAAUCAGCAAAAGCCGGAGAAGGAAUAUCCGGAUGCCCUGUCACGGGAAAAGGGCCACCAACAACUACAUUCGAAAAUUCGUACUCCCUACAAUUGAUAGAAGAAGGCAAUCUAAAAUAAUUAUACAAUUGUUAUAUUAAAAUAAUUAUACAAAAGUCAUAUUUUGCAAUACUAACCUGGGUGCAUUUGCUCCUCCUCCAAUAUCAGCACGAAAAUGUUCUCUUUCGGGGCCAGGGAAUAAUACAUCCACAUUAAAGUCACUAUUUAACAUUCUAGAAUAAUACCCCUGAGAUAAAACCAUCUGUUUUUCAACGAAGAUUAUCAAACACGGAGGGUUCCCCGACAAUGCCAUCGCACCACACAAUGAGUCAUCAUCCGUAACUUCAACAACAUCGAACUGAUUCAUCCCAGUCGAAUAUCGGACUUUGAUAAUUAGACGAUACUCAUCUCUUGGGGUAUCGGUCAAUCUAUAUAUUUUUCUCUCGAAUUCUGUAAAUGUAAUAUCCACUGGGAUACACACUUAAUUUCUUACGACCGCCAACGUACUGUGGAUUGCUAUCUUGAGUGAAUAGUUCUCCAUUCCAAUGAACAAUAAUAGCCACAUUACUACGCGCCAUCCUAAUUUUUACAAAAUAUAAUAUUUAUAAACUAACAUAAUCGUAGCAAUAUUUGACCAAUUUAUAAUAUCAAUUUGCAAAUGACAUGUGUUCACUACAUCAGAAAAUAAUAAAUUUAUAAUAUUGUAAUAAUUUUAAAAAAAAAUUAUUAAUUUUUAGUAUAAAUUUAUCAAUUUUCAGUAUAUAUGUAUUUACUACACUCAUUUUUCAAAUUUCAUCAUACGAUGAUGCAAAUGUAAGGAAAUUUUUAAAAUAAUAUAUUUUGUUUAUUAAUUUUUAGUGAAUGGAUGCAACCCUUAGUGAGUGGAUGCAACUCUAAUCAAAGGGUGUAACUCUCAGAGUUAAAGGAUGUGACUUUUAGUGAAAGGAUAUGACAUGAAAAGACACAUCUUUAUCGUGUGUCUCUUCGAGUAUAUGUCCGUUGGAAUUAAUUCUUACAUUUAUUGAACUUGACUCAUAUAACUAAUUGGUAGUUAUGGUCAAAUGAAAAGUCACAAUUGAAAGAUCACUUCACGAAAUACCCGUUCAUGAAUAGUCACUUCAUGAAGCACCCGUUCGUGGUCUAUAUAAGUCCACAGCGUUGGUUGCAGAAACGAAAGUAGAAAAAAAAAGGAACAGUUGAAGAGUUUUAAGUCUCCAUUCAUAAUAAUUCCAUUCUUGUUUUCUUAUUCUUUUUGACAACUUAAUCGAGUAAGUGCUCAAAGGCUCGACUUCGUGUGUGCAAACGCAGUUGAGGUUUAUGCUUCAUUGUAUCUUGGGAGGCUGUUCGUUGACCCGGUGCACACCAAAUUGUUAGAACAGUAGUGACGGAUUAAGCCUUAAGGAAAGUGGCAUUGCUACACGCCUUGAAGCCUUUUUUCAUCUUUCUGUUUCAUACCUUUUUCACUAUCUGCUCUUAAAUCCGAAAAUGUCGACUGCUACUCAACGAGAGAUGACAACAAACUUUAUAAGACUAGAAAGAUUUGAUGGCAUGGACUUCAGGCGCUGGCAGAAGAAAUUAUUUUUCCUUCUGUCGACUCUCAAAGUUGCUUAUAUCCUCACUACUCCAAGACCAGAAGAAAACGAUGAUGAACCUAUUGCACAAACUUGUACAAGACAAAAAUGGGAUGAAGAUGACAAUAUAUGCCGAGGCAACAUUGUAAAUGCUAUGUCGGAUGCGCUUUUUGACGUCUAUCAAAAUAUGAAAAUGGCUAAAGAACUGUGGGAAGGUCUUGAAGAAAAAUACAAAUCCGUGGAUGCCACAAGUAAGAAGUUUCUUGUUAGCAAAUUUAAUAACUAUAAAAUGGUUGAUAGUAGAUAUGUUCUUGAUCAAUUACAUGAAAUUCAACAUAUUCUCAAUCAACUUACUCAACAUAAUAUGAAUAUGGAUGAAUCUAUAAUUGUGGCCUCUAUUAUCGAUAAACUUCCUCCAUCAUGGAAAGACUUUAAGAAAAGUCUUAAGCAUAAAAAGGAAGAGAUUACUCUUAAAGAUUUGGCUAACCAUCUUCGCAUAGAAGAAUAUCGUUUGCAUGAUGGCAAAAAGGAGCAAGAUGCUCGGAGUGUCAAAGUGUAUGUGACGGAAGAUGAGUAUAAUAAAACCCGUCAACCCAUAAAAGAAAAUCGAAAGAGAGCCAAACAUCCGAUCAACCACAACAUGACAAAUAAGAAAAAGAAAGAUGCAUGCUUUCAUUGUGGUAAACCGGGUCACUACAAGAAAGAAUGUCGGUUCCUCGAAAGGGAAAGUGCACCGGAUUCCAAAAGGAAUUUUGUGGCUAUGAUAUCCGAGGCUAACAUACUCGAAGAUGACGGAGUUUGGUGGAUUGAUUCAGGUUCCACAAGACGUGUGCAAGGAUAGAAGUUUAUUUAGAACUUAUGAUGCAUUGGAGGAUGGAAAUGUUCUCUAUGUGGGCAAUUCUUCAACAGCACAAAUCAAAGUAAAGAACACUCCAAUGAGAAAACUGAUGUUGUAAUUGAAACCCCAAAACUUAGAAGAAGUAAAAGAGUUAGAAUUGCUAAAACAUUUGGACCGGAUUUUUAUACUUUUCUUGUUGAGGGUAGUAGAGAAAUGAUUACAGAAAGUUUUCAAUUUUGUUUAAACAUUGACUCAGACCCCUAAACAUUGACUCAGACCCCACAACAUUUGAGGAGGCAAUGAAAUCUCCUGAUGUCACUUUUUGGAAAGAAGCGAUAAAUGAUGAAAUGGACUCAAUUAUGGCCAACCAAACAUGAAAAUUAGUUGAUCUUCCUCAUGGAUGUAAACCUAUUGGGUGUAAAUGGAUUUUCAAAAAAAAAUCAACGUAAAUGGCACCAUAGAUAAAUUCAAGGCAAGACUUGCUGCCAAAGGGUUUACACAAAAAGAAGGCAUUGAUUAUUUUGAUACCUAUGCACCUGUUGCCAGAUUAGCGACCAUUAGAACUUUGAUUGCUCUUGCUUCUAUGUAUAAUUUGAUUAUUCAUCAAAUUGAUGUCAAAGCUGCAUUCUUAAAUGGAGAAUUAGAUGAAAAGUUUAUAUGGAACAGCCCGAGGGCUUUGUUGUUCUUGGACAAGAGCAUAAAGUGUGUAAACUUGUCAUGUCAUUGUAUGGGCUUAAACAAGCACCUAAACAAUGGCAUCAAAAAUUUGAUCAGAUUGUUCUUUCCAAUAGUUAUAAAAUUAAUCAAUCUGAUAAAUGUAUUUAUAGUAAAUUUUCAAAUGGUAAAGGUGUUAUUAUAUGUCUAUAUGUUGAUGACAUGUUAAUUUUUGGCAUCGAUGUUCAGCAAGUAGAAAAUACUAAAAGUUUUUAAUCUUGCAAUUUUGAUAUGAAAGAUAUGGGGGAGGUUGAUAUUAUUUUGGGAAUUAAAAUUAUUCGUGAAAAUAAUGGUUUAUUUUUAACGCAGUCUUAUUAUAUCGAAAAGAUUCUUAGGAAAAAAUUAGUUAUUUUGACUGUACUCCAGUAUCUACUCCUUUUGAUCCUAAUCUAAAAUUAGUUCGCAAUACUGGUAGAUCAAUUAAUCAGUUAGAAUAUUCUAAGAUUAUUGGAAGUUUGAUGUAUGCCAUGUCUUGUACUAGGCCUGAUAUUGCAUUUGCUGUUGGUAAAUUAAGUAGAUUUAUUAGCAAUCCAGGUAAUGUACAUUGGCAUCCUAUUUACAGACUUUUGAAAUAUUUGAAAAAGACUAUGGAAUUUUCUAUAGUGGAUAUCCAACAGUAUUGGAAGGCUAUACAGAUGCCAGUUGGAUAACAAAUCAAGAAGAUCAUGCAUCCACAAGUGGGUAGAUAUUUAUAUUAGGUGGAGGUGCGAUUUCUUGGGGUUCUAAGAAACAAACAUGUAUAGCGGACUCUACCAUGGCAGCAGAAUUUAUAGCACUAGCGUCUGCUAGUAAGGAGGCGAAAUGGAUAAGGAAUUUAUUAUAUGAAAUUCUAGUUUGGCCAAAACCAAUGCCGCCGGUAUCGCUACAUUGCGAUCGUGAGGCUACGCUUUCGAGAGCAUAUAAUCAAACAUACAAUGGGAAGUCAAGACAUAUUGGAUUAAGACAUAGCUAUGUAAAACAACUGAUAUCAGAUGGCAUAAUUACCAUUGAUUUUGUAAGAUCAAACCAAAAUCUUGCGGAUCCGUUGACUAAGGGACUUCCAAGAGAAUUGAUAUUCAAGACAUCAAUGGGGAUGGAUCUCAAGCCCAUAUUACAAAGUCACCAAUGAUAGAAACUCGACUUAACACUUGAAACAUCAUCAAGUCUUAAGUUCAAUGAGCCAAAGUACAUCAUAUGGAGUGAUUGCAAGCACUAUAAUAUAAAAUUUCCAUCCCAAGUGCUUGGUAUCCGUAUUGAAAAGGGAAAGUUGAACUAAUAAAGUUCUUAAUAGACCUACAGUAGUAUUUACUGAAGUGUUAAAUACGGGACACUUCUGGUAGAGUCUACCUAUAUGAAUGUGAAGUGUGGCCGCUUCUAGGAGUUAAGGGCUUGACUCUAACAGCAUUCAUGAAACAGGAUGCGGACACAAGGCCAUAAAAGUGUCAGCAAUAAAAUAGAGCACUCGAUUGAUUAUAAAUUCCUAUGUGUGAGAUAUGUUCGGUUAGUCAAAAAAUAAUUGUUGGUUCAAAGCUUGUCUACCAUUCAAUUAUGUCUAACUUUGAUGAGUUUUCACUAAGUGUAGGUUCAAGUUUUAAUACAACUACACCUAUGCAUACGAUUUUGUCAAGUUGUCAAGAAUUUUGAUUUUUGAUUUUUGAUUUUUGAUUUUUGAUUUUGUUUUAUUUUGUAUUUUGAUGUAUUUUUAUGUAUUUUAAAAAUUGGUAGGGAAUUGUAAGGAAAUUUUUAAAAUAAUAUAUUUUUUUUAUUGAUUUUUAGUGAAUGGAUGCAACCCUUAGUGAGUGGAUGCAACUCUAAUCAAAGGAUGUGACUUUUAGUAAAAGGAUAUGACAUGAAAAGACACAUCUUUAUAGUGUGUCUCUUCGAGUAUAUGUCCGUUGGAAUUAAUUCUUACAUUCAUUGAACUUGACUCAUAUAACUAUUUGGUAGUUAUGGUCAAAUGAAAAGUCACAAUUGAAAGGUCACGUCACGAAAUACCCGUUCGUGGUCUAUAUAAGUCCACAGCGUUGGUUGCAGAAACGAAAGUAGAAAAAAAAAGAAACAGUUGAAGAGUUUAAAUCUCCAUUCAUAAUAAUUUCAUUCUUGUUUUCUUAUUCUUUUUGACAACUUAAUCAAGUGAGAGCUCAAAGGCUCGACUUCGUGUGUGCAAACGCAGUUGAAGUUUAUGCUUCAUUGUAUCCUGGGAGGCUGUUCGUUGACCCGGUGCACACCAAAUUGUUAGAACGGUAGGGAUGGAUUAAGCCUUAAGGAAAGUGGCAUUGCUACACGCCUUGAAGCCUUUUUUCAUCUUUCUAUUUCAUACCUUUUUCACUAUCUGCUCCAACAGCAAAUAGGGUUUAAAAUGUGACCUAAAGUGUGCAUGCUACCAAAUAUAGACAAAAUAUAACUGACAAAAUACAACAAGUUAUAUUGAAAGAACACAAUAAUCUACAAACAAUCAACUGUACUACAAAACCCACUACAACUUUUUUCAAAAAUCUAACCUCUAACCUAAUGAGGACAAUGUGGAUGCAAUGCUGAGGAGAGAGGGUGCGGUGGCGGCCUUGACGGUGGCAGCAGCAGCAGAGUCUUCGGUGCCGGCGACGGCGGCGUCGAAGUCGUCGGGUUCGGGCGGAGUGAGAGAGACAGAGAGGAAAUCGGGGAGAGGAGUAAGGGAGAAAGGAGAAGAGUUCGGGCGGAGUGAGGGAGACAGAGAGGAGAUCGGGGAGAGGAGUGAGGGAGAAAGGAGAAGGGUUCGGGCGGGGUCUAGGGUAUUCUAAUUAAAUGUGGUGAACUGUUCACUGCAUAUAAAAGCGGUAAACGGUUUACCGUAUUUAAAGACGAUGAAUGGUUCACCGCUUUUAAAUGCGGUGAAUAGUUAACCGUCUUUAAAAGUGGUAAACUGUUCACCACCUUUAAAGGAACGCGGUAAACCGUAUUCUUAAUUUUUCACACUAAUUCCCCACACCUGCCAGAGGCCCACAAAUGCGGUGAAUGGUUCACCGCAUAAGUAAAUGCGAUGAACCAUUCACCGCAUAUAAAGAUUUUACUCCGAGGAACUGACCUGGCCUAUUUGAGGCCUACUUUUACAAUAAAAUUUAGAGGACAAUUUUUAGAAAAAAAAUUUUAAGAUUAUUUAUAAAAAAAAUUCGUUUCUGCAACAUAGUACAUUUAUACUGUGCUAUUAAUAAGGUCACAUUUUCUAUUGAGACAUUAUUAUACUGCUGGAACGAAACAUCUAGUGAAUUAUUUAGUCUUCAAACAGAUAUCUGAUGUCACCAAUCUAGGAGAUGAUUACGAACCUAACUCUACAUGCAAAGAACUGCCUCAUGACAAUAUUAAGCGCAAUGAAAGCAAAGUGGAUGAUGAACAAAGAGGAGAAAUUUCAGAAUCCUUUGGAAUUGGAGGUUACGAAAGGAGGGACAACCUCUAAAGCCGAAAGCACCAAGGUGAAACACUAAAAAGAACGCAAAAACAUCACAAAUAUGGCCAUCUCCUUUAUCCAGUGUCCUACAUAGCAAAUUCCGAAAUUCCUCUUAUCUCCUCUUAUUUACUCGAGAACUAGUUGAUUGUUAAUAUACAUAAAAAGUUGUAUAAAACCAAAUAAAAAGGAAAAUGUAAUCUUAAUUUUUUAAGGUUAUGAUAAAUCAACUUGUAGGUAAAUAAACUACCUUAAGAAUUCACAACGACCAGCCAAACUAUGAACUUACAAUCACCCAAGAAAACCAUCAUCAAACAAAGGUGGUCUACAUACAACCUUUUGAGACAUCAGGUAGAUGUUUGCAUUAAAAAGUUUCCGAAAAGAAAAUAAGUUUUCUUAUCCGCUAUAACUUUCUCCUACUAGGCUUUUGUUAGGCUUCUCGCUAUAUUAGCAAGCAAAAUGAUAUCCUAAAUACUUUACCUUAAAUAAGGAAAAUCACAUAAAUAUGUUCCUCUCUAUAAACCAUAAAAGUAAAUUUGAAAUGUGUAAAAUUUCUAAUUUAAAAAUUUUUACAUUUCUAUUUUCCUGAUAUAAUUUGAAAUGUGUGCAGGCCACAGCCUCAGACGGAUUGAGUGAAGAGGCGGACUUUGCAAGUGAAAAGGAUGAAAACAUGUGCAAGAAAGAUGAUUGUGCUAGAGAGACCGCUCAAGAUUUUCUGGAGGAAACUACUCAUAGAGCUUGGAAGGGCGGAGAGGAAACAGAUGCAAAGAAUAUUGGAAGUGAAGACAAUGAUAGAGAUGUAAAAGGAAUCCCUGAUGUGGCACCUCAGGGAGAUUAUAAUACAAAGACACCAGAUAAUACAUACACAAAAGAAAUUAUGAUAGCAAUAGAACAAGAAGAUGAGGCAAGGACACAAGUGAGAUCAGACAAUGAGGAAACAGAAGGUGAAAAGGUAUCAACAUAUCAACUCUGCCCUUUUCAACUUUUGUAGUCUUUUUAAGCAUUUGCUAAUUACUAAACUGUUGACACGUGUAACGAAUUAGGACUGAAGAGGAAACUUGAGCAAUGAUUAUAUGAUUAUAUAGAUAUAAGCCAUAUCUGUUGUUUCCGUGAUACUGUAUUUUCUUUUGUGCUAGUUACCAUUAGCUUUAUUUUUUUAUCAAACCAUUUUAUUAACUUCUUACAAUUUCAUUUAAGCAGAUAUCUAGUGUCAAAGGUGACAGUGAACCCACAAAGGUGGAGAAUGAAUACAUAAGCAACACUGUUGGUGAUGCCUCUGAUACAGGAGAGCCAACUGGGAAGCCUGCAGACGUAGAUGAUGUGGUAGACGAUGUGCAGGAAGAAACCAUAGGAUCUACAUGUGACGAACAACAUCAGGAAAAUAUUGAGAGCAACGAAAAAAACGAGGAUGGUGAACAGAGAGAAGACAAACAUCAAACUCUUCAACAAGAGGAAUUAGUUUCUGAAGUUGAAAAUCAAGAGACAACCUCCACAACAGGCGCUAAAAAGAUGGAGAUCUCAAAAGAAGGCGAAAACCUCAUUAAUAUGGUAACCUGCUUUAUUCAAUUGCAUAGUAUGUUAAAUUCCUUGGGACCUUUCUGGAAGCUAAAAUAACUUACCCAGCAUAUCUUCUCUUACUGACUCGAGAACUAUUUAUUUCUUGAUUGUUAAGGAGAACAAAAUUAUGUCUAAACCGAAGAGCAAAAAAAGUAAGCAAACUUAUUUUUAAGGAUAUGAUAAAUCACCUUGUAGGUGAACUGGUGAAGCAUAUUAGUUUAUAUCAUCAUGGCGGAAAAUUGUCUAAAGUCAAAGUCUGUUCUCAUAAUCACUAAUUGUUACCUCCAUCCAAUACUAGUUAUCUACACAUACAUUAAGGGUUUGUAUAUUGCGCAGUUGUAGAGAUUUUUUACACUCCCUAUCAACCAUUACCACAUGCACCUUGAGCAAACAGAAAGUCAUCAGCUGAACAAGAUACUCGUGCGUCUAAGAUUCUAAAUAGGCCAUAUAGAUUUUGCAUUGAAAGACAAUACAAUAAUUCUAGCCUGUCAACUAUUUUUGAAACUUGUCUUUUAUUAAACCUCUAAUUUACCUACUGUGGGCAGAUUUCUGAAUCAGUAAAUCUGGAGGAAACUAAAAUUGAAAAUGACACGGAUGAUGAGAAGAUCAAGGAGAGCGUUGAAGAUAAUCCCCGAGAUCAUGCCUUGCUUUCACAAACAAGACAUGAUGUAGCAGACGAAGACCACACAAAAGCAGAUCAAAGUUUGGAAGGGAAGGACGGUAAUAUUGUAAGUCUUGAGAAAGAAAGUAUCAAAAGCAAGGGACCUGAUGAGGUUCACCCCAGUGAAUCAGAAGCACAUCAGCGUUUGGUGGACAAAGACAACAAUAUUGUAAGUCUUGAAAAAGAAAGCAUUGAAAGCAAAGGGCCUGAUGAGGUUCAACCCGGUGAAUCAGAAGCCACCAAGGUAGACUUUCUUUUGAAUUCUUCAAAACUUUAUGUAUUUAAUUUAACUAUUCAAUUUGCUUUCCUUAAACUCUCUGUUUUUCCAACAUGCCUCCUCAUCUCAAGUUUGACUUGUGAAAAUUUUGAUCAAGCAGGUUGCUGAAAUUGUUAGCACAACUGACGAAGCUGAAACUACGUCUGUAGAUGGAGGGGAAAGUGUUGAUGUUGACAAAGAUAAGGCAGAGUAUCAAGAGCACAAAAACGUUAUAGAGUCAGUGAUGGAGGAAUAUAAUAAAGGGGGAGCAAAUGAAACACAAAUGGCCAAGAGCCACCAGGUAAUAAUUGAUUCAAUGCCACGUAUGGUUUCGUACUAAGUCCAAAAUUCGUAUAUUUUACUGCAUGGCCAGAAGUAUAGAAACGAUUGAACUAAUAAUUCUUAGCUUCUCCUCUAAAACCCCCAUUUCUAUAUAACAUUAAUUGUUGUCCUAUCUUGAUCAGAUUCCUGAAAUGGAUGAUCUAAGCCCUGAAAAGGCUUCGGAGACAAAUGAAUCGGUGAUGAAAGAUAUGCAUGACAAAACUAAAACAAAGCAUGAAGAAGAGCCAGAUUUUGCAAGUAACAAGCCAAUUAAUCAGACUACCAUGCCUGAACAAAGUCGAAUUCCUGAAGAAGAAAAUACUAUCAUGGAAAGCAAAACAGAGUCAAGCUUCCCAAAGGAUGCAAUUGAAAAUGCCCUGAAAUCAGACCCUGAAGAGAAGGAUGAGGAAAUGCUAAAGAAUGACGAGUCCUCACAUAUUUUCCCAGAGUCCUCUCCCGACGCUGAUCAUAACAUUGCUGAGGGAUUAUGUCAUCAAGAUGAAGGGAACAAGAUAUAUGAGGAUGCAGCACCAGAAACUGCAUUCGGCAAUCAAAGCUGUGAAGCAAAUGAGGAGCAAAGAGAAACAGAGAAAAAAGAUAUGCCUAUGAAGUACAUUGACACUGUAAACAGUCAAGAAGAGACGAUACAUAAAGAAGAUUCUGAUAAUGUGGAAGAGAGCGAGAAGUGUGCAGGAGAGGAUGGAACCGCUUUAACACUUGAGCGAGCAUCUGCAGCAAAGGAUGAUGAACAAAGAGAAGAGAAAUUUCAAAAUCCUCAUGACAUAGAAUCAGAAAUGGACGUUAAGAAAGAAAAGACAACCUCUGAAGCAGAAAGCUCCAAGGUAGCGCACUUUUGGCAAAAACAUCACAAAUAUGUCCAUCUCCUUUAUCCAGUAUCCCACAUAUCAAAUUCCGAAAUUCCUAUUAUCUCCUCUUAUUUAUUCAAGAACUAUUAAGUUAGUUGAUUGUUAAUAUACAUAAAAAGGUGUAUAAAACCAAAUAAAAAGGAAAAUGGAAUCUUAAUUUUUUAAGGUUAUGAUAAAUCAACUUAUAGGUAAAUACACUACCUUAAAAAUUCACAACGACCAGCCAAACUAUGAACUUACAAUCACCCAAGAAAACCAUCAUCAAACAAAGGUGGUCUACAUACAACCUUUUGAGACAUCAGAUAGAUGUUUGCAUUAAAAAGUUUCAGCAAAGAAAAUAAGUUUUCUUAUCUGCUGUUACAUUCUCCUACUAGGCUUUUGUUAGGCUUCUAGCUAUAUUAGCCAGCAUAAUGAUAUCCUAAAUACCUUACCUUAAAUAAGUAAAAUCACAUAAAUAUGUUCCUCCCUAUAAACCUUAAAAGCAAAUUUGAAAUGUGUAAAAUUUCUAAUUUAAAAAUUUUUACAUUUCUAUUUUCCUGAUAUAAUUUGAAUGGUGUGCAGACCACAGCCUCAGACGGAUUGAGUGAAGAGGCGGACUUUGCAAGCGAAAAGGAUGAAAACAUGUGCAAGAAAGGUGAUUGUGCUAGAGAGACCGUUCAAGAUUUUUCGGAGGAAACUACUCAUAGAGCAGGGAAGGGCGGAGAGGAAACAGAUACAAAGAAUAUUGGAGGUGAAGACAAUGAUAGAGAUGUAAAAGGAAUCCCAGAUGUGGCACCUCAGGGAGAUUAUAAUACAAAGACACCAAAUAAUACAUACACAAAAGAAAUUAUGAUAGCAGUAGAACAAGAAGAUGAGGCGAGGACACAAGUGAGUUCAGAUAAUGAAAAAACAGAAGGUGAAAAGGUAUCAACAUAUCAACUCUGCCCUUUUCAACUUUUUUUAGCCUUUUUAAGCAUUUGCUAUUAACUAAACUGUUGAUACGUGUAAGGAAUUAGGGCUAAAGAGGAAACUUGAGCAACGAUUAUAUAAUUAUAUAGAUAUAAGUCAUAUAUGUUGUUUCCGUGAUAUCGUAUUUUCUUUUGUGCUUGCUAUCAUUAGCUUUAUUUUUUGAUCAAACCAUUUUAUUAACUUCUUACAAUUUCAUUUAAGCAGAUAUCCAGUGUCAAAGGUGACAGUGAACCCACAAAGGUGGAGGAUGAAUACAUAAGCAACACUGUUGUUGAUGCCUCUGAUACAGGAGAGCCAACUGGGAAGCCUGCAAACGUAGACGAUGUGGUAGAUGAUGUGCAGGAAGAAACCAUAGGAUCUAUAUGUGAAGAACAACAUCAGGAAAAUGUUGAGA
rnacentral:lncRNA from 1 species